CGCGGAGGAAGCACCAGCGCGGGGUGGGGACUCAGCCCGCACUCGCCGCCGCUUGGGAAGCAUCUGGAUACGGAACUCAGGAGGCACGGAAGGCCGCAGAACCGAGGAAGCCGAGGGCGGUGCCUCAGCUUACCCUGGACCAGCUGCCUCUGUUGGUGACACAGCGCCUGCGCGGCAUCCUCUGCGUCUGCAAAGGAGAGCAGAUACGUAGUCUGUGAGUGAGCUAACGGACUGUGAAAAAAUUUUCCAAUCUAAUGGCAUUGGGACCAGCUGGCCGUCCAUUUGGAAAAAUAGAAAUUGGCCCCCAUCAAGUAAAUCCCAGAUGGAUCAAACAUUCAAAUCAAUCUGAAAAGAAACCCAAACUGUACUGGCAGAAACUCGAUUUUUUUUUUAUUUCUAAAAAAUAUUUAUUAAAUUUAUUUAUCUUUGUU